GGGAUUGUAGCUCAGUGGUAAGAGCGCUUGCCUAACAUGCAUGAGGCACUGGGUUCGAUCCCA
rnacentral:tRNA from 1 species